rnacentral:rRNA from 1 species
CAGUCGCCGCGGUAAAACAGAGGGUGCGAGCGUUAAUCGGAUUUACUGGGCGUAAAGCGUGCGUAGGCGGUGAGUUAAGUCUGCUGUGAAAUCCCCGGGCUCAACCUGGGAAUGGCAGUGGAUACUGGCUCGCUAGAGUGUGUCAGAGGAUGGUGGAAUUCCCGGUGUAGCGGUGAAAUGCGUAGAGAUCGGGAGGAACAUCAGUGGCGAAGGCGGCCAUCUGGGACAACACUGACGCUGAGGCACGAAAGCGUGGGGAGCAAACAGGAUUAGAUACCCCGGUAGUCCCUGUCUCUUAUCC